rfam:Stegodyphus mimosarum contig109556, whole genome shotgun sequence.
GCCUUCGUGGUGUAAUGGUUAGCACACUGAGCCGGUAUUUCAGAGGUCCGUGGUUCGAUCCCCGGCGAAGGCA